ensembl:lncRNA
AUGUCCAUUAUUCCCCCAGCCAUAUUGAUUAACAGGAAGAUAGAGCACACUCUAGUCUCCAGCAGUCGGAGCGUAACCUUUUACCCUGGCUCUAUCCCAGCUCCGGCCGGGCUUGGGUUACAUAGUGGCCGGGCAUUCCAGAGUACAAAUGGAAUUAGUGCAUCUGUUCAAAAGUUAAUUUGCAAAUCACCUUUGAAUGAGUCUUUUGAUAGAGCUGAUAUGGUGGCCAUCAGCCAGAAUAACACGCCUUCUCAUGUAUCAGGCCUAAAGAUUAUUUUUGCACUUAUUAUUAUUUCUAUUAUUAUUAUUAUCCUUUAAAAAUAUAGGCGCCUACGCCUAUUUUUUAGUGAUGCAGCGUGGAGAGCCACUUCAGAAACUUUCUGCGGCGUGGGUGGUGAGUAGCCAUGAUCAGCUCUGGUCGCGUGACGCACCGCAGACGUGUGCAGUGUAAAUAAAGAGGUAAGAGAUUUAUUCAUGAUACAGUGUAGCUUUACUGAUUAUAACAGGAGUGUUUUUAAAGAGCAUAUAAUACUCACGCUAGACUGAAGUCAGUUAUGAUGUUCUUUGGUAAUGUAAAUCUUCUCUGUUCGUUUUCUGUUUAAAUAACUGAGGAAGUGUAACUGUUUUAUUAACUGCUCAUCGUUAAACAUUUUAAAAAAAAAUUCUUCCUCUCCUGAAAGAUUUGCACACAUCUCUGUCUCCACAGUGCCAUCACAAGCCCCUACUGGCAACUCCUAACCACUUGAGAGACCUCUCGAGCUGUCUUAAAUAACUGGGAGAGUAAGGGUGAUUCUUAGCUUUAAGAAAUUUGAUAACUUGCUUUUAUACUUAAGUUUGAAAGUAGGAGUACAUUUUAUGAAUUCUCAGCACUUAGGACUAAAAUGGCACUUUGAGAAGCUUGAUAAAUAUGGGCCCAGGCUAUACCUUUGAUAAUACCUAGAAUUUUAAAUUUUACUGCAGGCGGCAGAUUCUUUUUCUAUUUAGCGCCAAAACUCUGGAAUAACCUACCUAACAUUGUUCGGGAGGCAGACACACUCUAGCCCCUUUCACACUGCGUUUCCCGAAAAUACACGUGUAAUGUGUCCCGGCAAUUGUUCCCGGGUCACUAGAUUUUGCGCCUUUCACACUGCCAGUGAUAACCCGGAAUAUGUGCGUGCGUUCACACACAACCCGUAAAGGUCCCGUGAAGACACAUGAUAUCAGGAUGUGACGUGUAAUGUACGAGUCGAAAACGCUAGGCACGUUAACUUUCACUUAAUCUGGCGAACGAUCUCAGCUUCAGCGCGGAAAGUGAGGAACUAACUGAUCUCUGCUUCGUUACAGUUUGCACAUAUUUGUUUCUUCACGAACGUUGAUCUGCCUUCAAAACACCCGUUAAAAUAGUCGCGAGAUAACGUGCGUCAUCACUACGACACAGCCUUUACGGUAUUAGUUCUUGCUUUUGUUCACACAGCGCUCGUUCCGGGACUGAACCCCGCAAUGUUACUAGGUCCCCAACCGGGGAUCAAUCCCGGGACGUGUUUGCGUUCAGACAGAAGGUGACCCGGCAAUGUUCCGGCAAUUUUCCGGGUCCAGCGUGCAGUGUGAAAGGGGCUUCUGUCAGUUCAAAUCUAGAUUAAAGACCCAUCUCUUUAACCUGGCUUACACAUUGCACACUAACACAUUUCUAAUAUUCAAAUCCAUUAAAGGAUUUUUAGGCUGCAUUAAUUAGGACAACUGGAACUGGGAACACUUCCCAUAACACCCGAUGUACUUGCUAUAUCGUUAGAAGAAUGGCAUCUAUGCUAAUAUUAGUCUGAUUCUCUCUUAUUCCGAGGUCACCAUAAUCACCAGAUCCAGUACAUAUCCAGACCAGAUGGUGGAUCAGCACCUAGAAAGGACCUCUACAGCCUUGAAUGUCAGCGGAGACCAGGACAACUAGAUGAGACCCAGAGACAGAUCCCCUGUGAUGACCUUGUUUCCUAGAAGGCCACCGGGACAAGACCACAGGAACCAGGUGUGUUUACACAUACAAGGAAUUUGUUUUCGUGACAGAAGCUUCCGCAGUGCAACAGAAUGACAGCGACAGAACAAAAACAUAAUAAAAGAAUAAAAAAAUAGAACAAGUAAGUAAGGAAUAACAAUAUACAAAUUGACAAUUGUAUGUGCAGGUAUAUUACAAUAGACAGUUUUGUAUGUACAGGUAUAUUAUGUGCAAAUUGAAGUGUAGACUAAGUAUGUGUGUUAGAUAAAUAAGUGUAUGAGUGUAUAAAUAGUGUUGUGUGUUCUACAGUUAUUAUCAAGUGUUCAUGAGAUUGAUUGCCUGAGGGAAGAAACUGUUCCUAUGUCUGGCCAUUCUGGUGCUCAGAGCUCUGUAGCAUCGACCGGACGGCAACAGUUCAAAGAGGAAGUGUGCUGGAUGUGAGGGGUCCAGAGUGAUUUUGCCAGCCCUUUUGCUCACUCUGGAUGAGUACUGUUUUUGAAUAGAAGAGAGGGUUGUACCGGUGAUUCGCUCAGCAGUCCGGACUACCCUCUGUAGUCUUCUGAGGUCAGAUUUGGUAGCUGAGCUGAACCAGACAGUUAUAGAAGUGCAGAGGAUGGAUUCAGUGAUGGCGGAGUAGAACUGUUUCAGCAGCUCCUGUGACAGGUUGAACUUCCUCAGCUGGAGAAGGUAAUACAACCUCUGCUGGGCCUUUUUCACAAUGGAGUCAAUGUGAACGUCCCACUUUAGGUCCUGAGAGACUGUGGUGCCCAGGAACCUGAAUGACUCCACUGCAGUCACAGUGUUCAUGAUGGUGAGUGGGGGGAGAGCAGGGGGGUUUCUCCUGAAGUCCACGAUCAUCUCCACAGUUAUAAGCGUGUUGAGCUCCAGGUUGUUGAGACUGCACCAGACAGCCAGCUCUUUAUGACAUAUAAUAUAAUAUAAUAUAAUAUAAUAUAAUAUAAUAUAAUAUAAUAUAAUAUAAUAUAAUAUAAUAUAAUAUAAUAUAAUAUAAAUGUGGUUAUUAAAUUACAUAAUUUCCAGUGCAGUUAUAUUAUAUAUACUUCAAAAGUUUUGAAUAGACCUGGUUUAUGGUGGUUUAUGUCAUUUUUGGAGCAGCGUUCGUUCUCAUUGCCUGCCAUCCUUCACAUUCUGCUAAACAUCUCCUUUUUUAUCCCAUGAAAGAAAGACAUGAGGAUGAGUACAUGAUAACAGAAGUAUCCCUUUACCAGCCUUGCUACUAACUUUAUUUACAGUGUCACUGUUUGGUUAUAUAGAAGUAUAUGAAGUUGCAGCAACCGUUUUCAGCUGUCCUAUCUUGAUGGGACUACGACCAUCUUGAUGCUUAGCGCCCAUCUGUUCAGCUAUACACUGUCCAGGACUGCUUUGGAAUUCAGAGCAGCAUGUAGCUGUCACAGAGUAAUAGGGUUUUUUAUUUGUUAUGGGAAGGCAGCUCAUCUUGUUAAUUCUGCAGAUGGACAGGGGUGAGGAUUUGCCCCGUGGUAAAGUACACUCACUGGCACUCAAGUUGCCGGACUGGAUGUCUCGCUGCUGUUCAGGAGUCAGUCUCAGACAGGCAGACAGCCAGAGAGGCAGACGGACAGACAGGCUAAGAUAUCGCCUGCAGUCAUUCAGAACCUCACAGUCUGGCUGGAGUGAAUUUGACUGGAGGCAAGAAGCAAAACGAGGAUUGCUGAGGUAACAGGAACACGACACGACACACACACACACACACACACACACACACACACACACACACACACACACACACACACACACACACACACACACACACAUAUUGCUUAGGCUUUUCUUUCUCUCUCACUUUCCAUUCCUCCAUUCUUCCCUAUAUUCUGAUCAGAUAUGCAGAGCAGUUGUGUUUCCCCCCACAGACUCCGGAGUUUCUCAUGUCAGAUCACUCUGAUUGCAUAAGAGUCAUGGCAGGGUGGAAGCCCUGGUGAUCAGACCUCCACUGCUCUCUUCGCUUACUUCCAGUCUUUCAGAAUUUAAUGACUGUGAUUGCGAUUUUGAUUCACUUUUUGACAGUGAUAUUUAAAAUAAAUAAAUAAAUAAAUGUAUUCACCCUUCACUUGUUCCAAACCUGUUGUUUCUUUCUUCUGUUGAACACAAAGAAGAUAUUUUGAAGAAUGUUGGUACCCAAACAGAAUAUAUUUUUUAUUCAUACUAUGGAAGUCAGUGGCUACCAAAAAGGAAGAUUCUUCCAUCCUUCACUCACCUUCACGGCAAUCCAAACCCUUAUGACUUUCUUUCUCUUGUCGCACAUGAAAGGAGAGAUUUUUAAGAACGCUCAUGCUGCUCUUUUCCAUACAAUGGAAGUGAAUGGAAUUCAGA